rnacentral:lncRNA from 1 species
AGAUUUUAUAAAUGUUUUAUGUUUAAUGUUUGUUUUUAGUGUGUUUAUGUGUGCGCUGAUAAAGGCCCAUGCACACUAGCGUCUGCAACGCAGCGUUUUUAUGAACGCCCACUUUAGCGUUUCAUAUUUUUAAGUUUUUUGUUUAGGCGAUUAUAGCCAACUAUUUAAUAUAGUUUAUUCAUGUUGCCCGUGUCAACAUUUUUUAGGCUUUAUGGUAGCCAUUAUUUUAAAUUAAAUUUAAAUUAGGAACCUUAUUAGGUUACUCAUUGUUUUUUUCCUUUUCGACGGAGCGGGUAGUGACUCCUUAAAUAAGCCUCUAGCAACUGUUGUUUUGUUUCUUUGUCUUUGUCUUUAGAAUUGGGAUAUCGAGUGACACUAAGAUAGUCGUCAGCUCAUCAGGGGUAUGAAUGUGGGUAACACCCAGUGAAAUGGAUACUGGGUGCUACUUUAUGAAAGAAGUGAAAGGAGAUCAAUGAAUGGUGAAGAAUAACAGGUCGGGGUAAUUGUUGUGCUUAGGGUUGUGCUGUGUAGAUGUUGUUUGUGCUUCGUUACGUUUUUUUUAUAAAUUGUUGUUGUCUCGUCUUCUGUGACAGAUUUUUUUUUUUAAAUUUGAUAAAAUUUAGACUGGUUGUGCGCUCCAGGCUCUAUGGCUGAGGGCAGCCGUGUUUCUCACCCAGUUCGAAACCUCUCGUGGGUAGGGGGGUAUUGUAACGAAGCAUUUCGGACCAACGAGCCUUGUAGCGACAUCUUGUGGUUUCUGGCGAUAUAUCGUUGUUUUUAUAUUUUACCCGCAGGAAAUCACAGAUGGCGCUGCAGGGUUAUCGAUGGGCCCGAACAUUUUAAUAAUUUUCUUUUCGUUCUUCAAAAUUUGGUAUAUUAAAAUUAUCUGCAACAUUUAUUUUUGAUAUAUUAUAAUUAUAUUGUUUAAAUUUUGGGAUCAAACAAGUCGAUCGAUUGUUGUCGUUGAUUCGGCGAAUUUAUGGUUUGGUAGAUUUUUUCUAGUUUGGCAACUUUGUUCGUGGUUCUUGUGUCAGACUGACAGCUGGCUGAGCUGAGAGACAGGUUAUGAAAAGGGGGGACGUCGCGAGAGCGCCGGAGACUCCACUGCCGUAACAAUAAUGUGGGCAAAUUAAAAGCCACGAUUUAUCGGCGACAUCAAGAGCCGAUGUCUCGAUUUAAAUAAACAGCUUAACCGAGAUGCAACUUCACUGAAAUCCCAUCGCCGAAGGUCCAGUGGGUGGGAUUAGGUUUCAUCCGAGCGAUGCCCAACUAUCCCGGAUGAACCUAUGGGGUUUUUUUUGUUUCCUUUAAGUUUUUAACGUCUUUAAAGUUUUGUUCAAUUUUCUGACGUUUUUAAGUUCUAUGAAGAAGUUUAUGAUUGGAUCAGACUAUUUCAACAAAUUUUGUGAAUGAAGAUUCCUACUGUUUUCUUCUGCAUUUGAGAGUUAUUUCAAGCUUCAUUUCGGCGGAGCUUGCCUUGGUUGUUUGCACGUCGAAGCUUUCCUUUGUGCGGCGCGCAUACGGAUGUGCCGCGCCUCUUCUUUUGUCAACACUCCGGAUAAGGCCCGGUGAAGGACUGCGAGGUUGACCGGUGGACGUGCAGCCCGCCAGCUGCGUAACAGUUGGCCCGCUGCGCCGCCAUCGUCCAGCACGCCCUGGCCUGAGCCGGCCUCAACGCAUCCCCUGUACGGUAUACCGGGACGCCUCAGGUAGGCCUGAUAGUCAGAGGUCCUCGAGUAAGUGAGGUGCCUACAGGUGUACGGACAGUGUUUUAAAUAUAGUGCUAUCUUAUGGUCAUGUCACAGAGAGACACUUUACCUAACGGCCCAUUUCUUUUUUAUGGAAUACCAUUAUAGCAAAUUUGUUUCAGUGGCGCCCUUCUUGGUGAAAUUGUCGCUCUGUACAACCAUUUUAGAAUAUAAGUGGUGUUGGCAUAAACUUUAAGAAUAAAUUUUGUGAAAACAGUGUAUUUUUUUUUAUUAUUAAAAGUGAUGGGAUUUUGUGUGAA